UACGUAGGGGGCGAGCGUUGUCCGGAUUCAUUGGGCGUAAAGAGCUCGUAGGCGGUUUGUUGCGUCGGCUGUGAAAUCCCGAGGCUCAACCUCGGGUCUGCAGUCGAUACGAGUAAACUAGAGUGUUGCAGGGGAGACUGGAAUUCCUGGUGUAGCGGUGAAAUGCGCAGAUAUCAGGAGGAACACCGGUGGCGAAGGCGGGUCUCUGGGCAACAACUGACGCUGAGGAGCGAAAGCGUGGGGAGCGAACAGG
rnacentral:rRNA from 1 species